GCCUGGCUGGCUCAGUCAGAAGAGCACUGGACUCUCGCUCUCAGAGUCGUGAGUUCGAGCCCCACGUUAGGCG